UCAAAACUAAAACGUCGGGAGCAUUGGACUGUCUGACCUGGGCCACAUUGGGCCGCCGAAAACUUGACAAGUUAAAACUUUCAACAACGGAUCUCUUGGCUCUCGCAUCGAUGAAGAACGCAGCGAAAUGCGAUAGGUAAUGUGAAUUGCAGAACUCAGUGAAUCAUCGAAUCUUUGAACGCACAUUGCGCCCUGGGGCAUUCCUCAGGGCAUGCCUGUCCGAGCGUCAGUGCAAACCACCUCACGGAAACACGUGGUGCUGGCGGAGGUGUGGUGUCUGAUCGGGCCGCGAUGGCGGCCCGGUCCUCCCCACCCCGCCGAAAUGUAUGGGGAGCAACACGCAUUGGCGGACCCGACUUGGUAGACGCUGUGGUUAGCGUGGAGCAGUCGCGGGGCCAUUGCUGUCCCUCCCGCCUCGAGCCCGUGGCGGCAUCUCCGGGGCAUCUCGUCA
rnacentral:rRNA from 1 species